rnacentral:rRNA from 1 species
AGUGAACGCUGGCGGUAGGCCUAACACAUGCAAGUCGAACGGCAGCACAGUAAGAGCUUGCUCUUACGGGUGGCGAGUGGCGGACGGGUGAGGAAUACAUCGUAAUCUACUUUUUCGUGGGGGAUAACGUAGGGAAAGUUAAUCUAAUACCGCAUACGACCUACGGGUGAAAGCAGGGGAUCUUCUGACCUUGCGCGAUUGAAUGAGCCGAUGUCGGAUUAGCUAGUUGGCGGGGUAAAGGCCCACCAUGGCGACGAUCCGUAGCUGGUCUGAGUGGAUGAUCGGCCACACUGGAGCUGGGACACGGUCCAGACUCCUACGGGAGGCAGCAGUGGGGAAUAUUGGACAAUGGGCGCAAGCCUGAUACAGCCAGACCGCGUGGGUGAAGAAGGCCUUCGGGUUGUAAAGCCCGUUUGUUGGGAAAGAAAAGCAGCAGGUUAAGACCCCGCUGUUCUGACGGUACCCAAUGAAUAAGCACCGGCUAACUUCGUG